rnacentral:rRNA from 1 species
ACGCAUUCUAGAGCCAAAUUCAUUUUAAUAAAUAAUUAAAAUUACACUCAAAUCCAAAUUCAUAAUAUUAAUGCUAAAAUUAAUCCCAAAAUAAAUUUAAUGUAAUCCAUUUCUACUCAUGUAUGCUGCACCUUGAUCUGAUUUAUAAUACAAUAAUAUAUAUAAAUUAUAUAUUUAUAAAAAUAAUUAACAACGACGAUAUACAAGCAAAACAAAAGUUUUAUCAAUCGUGGAUUAUCGAUUACAGAACAGAUUCCCCUGAUAAGAAUAAAAAACCGCCAAAUUUUUUGAUUUUAAAGAACAUACCUAAUAUUUAUCUAGUUUUAAUUUUUCCACGUCUAGAAUAAUGGGGUAUCUAAUCCCAGUUUAAAGCCUAGAUUUCUUAACCUCAUAAACAAAAAUUAAGUUUUAUAAAAAAUAAGAUUUCACCCAAUAUUCCCUUGAAAAAAAAAUAAUUCUAUACUAAUUAAAUAAAACUGAAAAAAAAUAAUAGCAUUAUUAGUUUAACCGCA